rnacentral:rRNA from 1 species
GGGUUGUGAGGUUAAGCGACUAAGCGUACACGGUGGAUGCCCUGGCAGUCAGAGGCGAUGAAGGACGUGCUAAUCUGCGAAAAGCGUCGGUAAGGUGAUAUGAACCGUUACAGCCGGCGAUGUCCGAAUGGGGAAACCCAGUGCAAUUCGUUGCACUAUCGUUAACUGAAUACAUAGGUUAACGAGGCGAACCGGGGGAACUGAAACAUCUAAGUACCCCGAGGAAAAGAAAUCAACCGAGAUUCCCCCAGUAGCGGCGAGCGAACGGGGAGCAGCCCGGAGUCUGAAUCAGCUUGUGUGUUAGUGGAAGCGUCUGGAAAGUCGCAGGGUACAGGGUGAUACUCCCGUACACUAAAACACACAGGUUGUGAACUCGAAGAGUAGGGCGGGACACGUGGUAUCCUGUCUGAAUAUGGGGGGACCAUCCUCCAAGGCUAAAUACUCCUGACUGACCGAUAGUGAACCAGUACCGUGAGGGAAAGGCGAAAAGAACCCCGGCGAGGGGAGUGAAAAAGAACCUGAAACCGUGUACGUACAAGCAGUAGGAGCCCACUUGUUGGGUGACUGCGUACCUUUUGUAUAAUGGGUCAGCGACUUAUAUUCUGUAGCAAGGUUAACCGUAUAGGGGAGCCGCAGGGAAACCGAGUCUUAACUGGGCGUUAAGUUGCAGGGUAUAGACCCGAAACCCGGUGAUCUAGCCAUGGGCAGGUUGAAGGUUGGGUAACACUAACUGGAGGACCGAACCGACUAAUGUUGAAAAAUUAGCGGAUGACUUGUGGCUGGGGGUGAAAGGCCAAUCAAACCGGGAGAUAGCUGGUUCUCCCCGAAAGCUAUUUAGGUAGCGCCUCGUGAACUCAUCUUCGGGGGUAGAGCACUGUUUCGGCUAGGGGGUCAUCCCGACUUACCAACCCGAUGCAAACUACGAAUACCGAAGAAUGUUAUCACGGGAGACACACGGCGGGUGCUAACGUCCGUCGUGAAGAGGGAAACAACCCAGACCGCCAGCUAAGGUCCCAAAGUCAUGGUUAAGUGGGAAACGAUGUGGGAAGGCCCAGACAGCCAGGAUGUUGGCUUAGAAGCAGCCAUCAUUUAAAGAAAGCGUAAUAGCUCACUGGUCGAGUCGGCCUGCGCGGAAGAUGUAACGGGGCUAAACCAUGCACCGAAGCUGCGGCAGCGACACUAUGUGUUGUUGGGUAGGGGAGCGUUCUGUAAGCCGUUGAAGGUGGCCUGUGAGGGUUGCUGGAGGUAUCAGAAGUGCGAAUGCUGACAUAAGUAACGAUAAUGCGGGUGAAAAACCCGCACGCCGGAAGACCAAGGGUUCCUGUCCAACGUUAAUCGGGGCAGGGUGAGUCGACCCCUAAGGCGAGGCCGAAAGGCGUAGUCGAUGGGAAACAGGUUAAUAUUCCUGUACUCGGUGUUACUGCGAAGGGGGGACGGAGAAGGCUAUGUUGGCCGGGCGACGGUUGUCCCGGUUUAAGCAUGUAGGCGGAUGUUCCAGGUAAAUCCGGAACGUCACUAACGCUGAGGUGUGAUGACGAGGCACUACGGUGCUGAAGUGACAAAUGCCCUGCUUCCAGGAAAAGCCUCUAAGCAUCAGGUAACAUCAAAUCGUACCCCAAACCGACACAGGUGGUCAGGUAGAGAAUACCAAGGCGCUUGAGAGAACUCGGGUGAAGGAACUAGGCAAAAUGGUGCCGUAACUUCGGGAGAAGGCACGCUGAUGGUAAGUGAAGCGACUUGCUCGUGGAGCUGAAAUCAGUCGAAGAUACCAGCUGGCUGCAACUGUUUAUUAAAAACACAGCACUGUGCAAACACGAAAGUGGACGUAUACGGUGUGACGCCUGCCCGGUGCCGGAAGGUUAAUUGAUGGGGUUAUCCUCGCGGAGAAGCUCUUGAUCGAAGCCCCGGUAAACGGCGGCCGUAACUAUAACGGUCCUAAGGUAGCGAAAUUCCUUGUCGGGUAAGUUCCGACCUGCACGAAUGGCGUAAUGAUGGCCAGGCUGUCUCCACCCGAGACUCAGUGAAAUUGAACUCGCUGUGAAGAUGCAGUGUACCCGCGGCAAGACGGAAAGACCCCGUGAACCUUUACUAUAGCUUGACACUGAACACUGGUCCUUGAUGUGUAGGAUAGGUGGGAGGCUUUGAAGUGUGGACGCCAGUCUGCAUGGAGCCAUCCUUGAAAUACCACCCUUUAAUGGCUGGUGUUCUAACGUGGGCCCGUAAUCCGGGUUGCGGACAGUGUCUGGUGGGUAGUUUGACUGGGGCGGUCUCCUCCUAAAGAGUAACGGAGGAGCACGAAGGUCAGCUAAUCCUGGUCGGACAUCAGGAGGUUAGUGCAAUGGCAUAAGCUGGCUUGACUGCGAGCGUGACGGCGCGAGCAGGUGCGAAAGCAGGUCAUAGUGAUCCGGUGGUUCUGAAUGGAAGGGCCAUCGCUCAACGGAUAAAAGGUACUCCGGGGAUAACAGGCUGAUACCGCCCAAGAGUUCAUAUCGACGGCGGUGUUUGGCACCUCGAUGUCGGCUCAUCACAUCCUGGGGCUGAAGUAGGUCCCAAGGGUAUGGCUGUUCGCCAUUUAAAGUGGUACGCGAGCUGGGUUUAGAACGUCGUGAGACAGUUCGGUCCCUAUCUGCCGUGGGCGCUGGAGAAUUGAGGGGGGCUGCUCCUAGUACGAGAGGACCGGAGUGGACGCAUCACUGGUGUUCGGGUUGUCAUGCCAAUGGCAUUGCCCGGUAGCUAAAUGCGGAAGAGAUAAGUGCUGAAAGCAUCUAAGCACGAAACUUGCCCCGAGAUGAGUUCUCCCUGACCCUUUAAGGGUCCUGAAGGAACGUUGAAGACGACGACGUUGAUAGGCCGGGUGUGUAAGCGCAGCGAUGCGUUGAGCUAACCGGUACUAAUGAACCGUGAGGCUUAACCUUACAACGCCGAAG